rnacentral:rRNA from 1 species
GGCAGGUACAGCGGGAAGCCACCUGGCGACAGGGAGCGGAACCCGAAAGCCUGUCUCAGUUCGGAUUGGAGUCUGCAACCCGACUCCAUGAAGCUGGAUUCGCUAGUAAUCGCGCAUCAGCCACGGCGCGGUGAAUACGUUCCCGGGCCUUGUACACACCGCCCGUCAAGCCAUGGAAGCCGGGGGUGCCUGAAGUGCGCUGCCGCAAGGAGCGCCCUAGGGUAAAACCGGUGACUGGGGCUAAGUCGUAACAAGGUAAC